GCGCCCGUAGCUCAGUGGAUAGAGCGUUGGCCUGCGGAGCCAAAGGUCGUGGGUUCAAGUCCCUCCGGGCGCGCCA
rnacentral:tRNA from 2 species